GUUUGAUCCUGGCUCAGGAUGAACGCUAGCUACAGGCUUAACACAUGCAAGUCGAGGGGCAGCAUGAAUAUUGGCUUGCCAAUAUUUGAUGGCGACCGGCGCACGGGUGAGUAACACGUAUCCAACCUUCCGGUUACUCGGGGAUAGGCUUUCGAAAGAAAGAUUAAUACCCGAUGUUGUGUAUCUUUCUCCUGAUUGAUACGCCAAAGGAUUCCGGUAACCGAUGGGGAUGCGUUCCAUUAGGCAGUUGGCGGGGUAACGGCCCACCAAACCUUCGAUGGAUAGGGGUUCUGAGAGGAAGGUCCCCCACAUUGGAACUGAGACACGGUCCAAACUCCUACGGGAGGCAGCAGUGAGGAAUAUUGGUCAAUGGACGGAAGUCUGAACCAGCCAAGUAGCGUGAAGGAUGACUGCCCUCUGGGUUUAAACUUCUUUUAUACGGGAAUAACAUGAGGUACGGGUACCUUAUUGCAUGUACCGUUAUGAAUAAGCAUCGGCUAACUCCGUGCCAGCAGCCGCGGUAAUACGGAGGAUGCGAGCGUUAUCCGGAUUUAUUGGGUUUAAAGGGAGCGUAGGUGGGAUAUUAAGUCAGCUGUGAAAGUUUGGGGCUCAACCUUAAAAUUGCAGUUGAUACUGGUUUUCUUGAGUACGGUAUAGGUGGGCGGAAUUCGUGGUGUAGCGGUGAAAUGCUUAGAUAUCACGAAGAACUCCUAUUGCGAAGGCAGCUCACUGGACCGGCACUGACACUGAUGCUCGAAAGUGCGGGUAUCAAACAGGAUUAGAUACCCUGGUAGUCCGCACAGUAAACGAUGAAUACUCGCUGUUUGCGAUACACAGUAAGCGGCCAAGCGAAAGCGUUAAGUAUUCCACCUGGGGAGUACGCCGGCAACGGUGAAACUCAAAGGAAUUGACGGGGGCCCGCACAAGCGGAGGAACAUGUGGUUUAAUUCGAUGAUACGCGAGGAACCUUACCCGGGCUUAAAUUGCGCUGGCUUUUACCGGAAACGGUAUUUUCUUCGGACCAGCGUGAAGGUGCUGCAUGGUUGUCGUCAGCUCGUGCCGUGAGGUGUCGGCUUAAGUGCCAUAACGAGCGCAACCCUUAUCUUUAGUUGCCAUCAGGUUUUGCUGGGGACUCUAAAGAGACUGCCGUCGUAAGAUGCGAGGAAGGUGGGGAUGACGUCAAAUCAGCACGGCCCUUACGUCCGGGGCUACACACGUGUUACAAUGGGGAGCACAGCAGGUUGCUACACGGCGACGUGAUGCCAAUCCGUAAAACUCCUCUCAGUUCGGAUCGAAGUCUGCAACCCGACUUCGUGAAGCUGGAUUCGCUAGUAAUCGCGCAUCAGCCACGGCGCGGUGAAUACGUUCCCGGGCCUUGUACACACCGCCCGUCAAGCCAUGAAAGCCGGGGGUACCUGAAGUACGUAACCGCAGGAUCGUCCUAGGGUAAACCUGGUGAUUGGGGCUAAGUCGUAACAAGGUAGCCGUACCGGAAGGUGCGGCUGGAACACCUCCUUUCU
rnacentral:rRNA from 1 species